GACGAACGCUGGCGGCGUGCUUAACACGUGCAAGUCGAACGGAAAGGCCCUGCUUGCAGGGUACUCGAGUGGCGAACGGGUGAGUAACACGUGGGUGAUCUGCCCUGCACUUCGGGAUAAGCCUGGGAAACUGGGUCUAAUACCGGAUAGGAGCCAUUUUUAGUGUGAUGGUUGGAAAGUUUUUUCGGUGUAGGAUGAGCUCGCGGCCUAUCAGCUUGUUGGUGGGGUAAUGGCCUACCAAGGCGGCGACGGGUAGCCGGCCUGAGAGGGUGGACGGCCACAUUGGGACUGAGAUACGGCCCAGACUCCUACGGGAGGCAGCAGUGGGGAAUAUUGCACAAUGGGCGCAAGCCUGAUGCAGCGACGCCGCGUGGGGGAUGACGGCCUUCGGGUUGUAAACUCCUUUCGCUAGGGACGAAGCUUUUGUGACGGUACCUAGAUAAGAAGCACCGGCUAACUACGUG
rnacentral:rRNA from 1 species